UACGGAGGGUGCAAGCGUUAUCCGGAUUCACUGGGUUUAAAGGGUGCGUAGGUGGGCAGGUAAGUCAGUGGUGAAAUCUCCGGGCUUAACCCGGAACUGCCGUUGAUACUAUUUGUCUUGAAUAUAGUGGAGGUGAGCGGAAUAUGUCAUGUAGCGGUGAAAUGCUUAGAUAUGACAUAGAACACCAAUUGCGAAGGCAGCUUGCUACACUAUUAUUGACACUGAGGCACGAAAGCGUGGGGAUCAAACAGGAGUUAGAAACC
rnacentral:rRNA from 1 species